rnacentral:rRNA from 1 species
UACAGAGGGUGCAAGCGUUAAUCGGAGUUACUGGGCGUAAAGAGCGCGUAGGCGGUCCGGUAAGUCGGUUGUGAAAACUGGGGGCUCAACCCUCAGAGGCCGGACCGAUACUGUCGGGCUAGAGUCCGGAAGAGGCGAGUGGAAUUCCUGGUGUAGCGGUGAAAGUGCGCAGAUAUCAGGAGGAACACCAAUGGCGAAGGCAGCUCGCUGGGACGGUACUGACGCUGAGGCGCGAAAGCGUGGGGAGCAAACAGG